rnacentral:rRNA from 1 species
AUUGAACGCUGGCGGCAGGCCUAACACAUGCAAGUCGAGCGAGCGGCGGACGGGUGAGUAAUGUCUGGGAAACUGCCUGAUGGAGGGGGGUAACUACUGGAAACGGGAGCUAAUCCCGCAUACCAUGAGAUGUGCCCAGAUGGGAUUAGCUAGUAGGGGGGGUAACGGCGCAGCUUGGCGACGAGCCCUAGCUGGUCUGAGAGGAUGCACAGCGACACUGGAACUGAGACACGGUACAGACUCCGACGGGAGGCAGCAGUGGGGAAUAUUGCACAAUGGGCGCAAGCCUGAUGCAGCCAUGCCGCGUGUGUGAAGAAGGCCUUCGGGUUGUAAAGCACUUUCAGCGGGGAGGCGUUACCCGCAGAAGAAGCACCGGCUAACUCCGUGCCAGCAGCCGCGGUAAUUC